CCUACGGGAGGCAGCAGUAGGGAAUCUUUCACAAUGGGCGAAAGCCUGAUGGAGCAACGCCGCGUGCAGGAUGAAGGCCUUCGGGUUGUAAACUGCUUUUAUAAGCGAGAAAUAUGAUGGUAACUUAUGAAUAAGGAUCGGCUAACUACGUGCCAGCAGCCGCGGUCAUACGUAGGAUCCGAGCAUUAUCCGGAGUGACUGGGUGUAAAGAGUUGCCUAGGUGGCAUAAUAAGUAGCUAGUGAAAUCUGGUGGCUCAACCAUUCAGACUAUUAGCUAAACUGUUAAGCUCGAGACCGUUAGGGGUAACUGGAAUUUCUAGUGUAGGAGUGAAAUCCGUAGAUAUUAGAAGGAACACCAAUAGCGUAGGCAGGUUGCUGGGACGGUUCUGACACUAAGGCACGAAAGCGUAGGGAGCAAACGGGAUUAGAUACCCCUGUAGUC
rnacentral:rRNA from 1 species